rnacentral:sRNA from 1 species
GUGGACGGACCGCCGAGUCCUGCCGCCGCCCACAGACUCCAUUCCGACGGCAGGAGCGGGGGACCCAAUCUUCGCGGCGCUUCUCUCGGCGUCUUGGGGUGAAGCCGUGCCCAGCACGGCCGGGACACCUAUCCCGAACCCGACAGCUCACCUCGCAGGCGUGGAGGGUCAU